rnacentral:rRNA from 1 species
GAUGAACGCUGGCGGCGUGCCUAAUACAUGCAAGUCGAGCGAACAGACGAGGAGCUUGCUCCUCUGACGUUAGCGGCGGACGGGUGAGUAACACGUGGAUAACCUACCUAUAAGACUGGGAUAACUUCGGGAAACCGGAGCUAAUACCGGAUAAUAUAUUGAACCGCAUGGUUCAAUAGUGAAAGACGGUUUUGCGGUCACUUAUAGAUGGAUCCGCGCCGCAUUAGCUAGUUGGUAAGGUAACGGCUUACCAAGGCAACGAUGCGUAGCCGACCUGAGAGGGUGGUCGGCGACACUGGAAGUGAGCCACGGUCCAGGCUCCUACGGGAGGCAGCAGUAGCGAAUCUUCCGCAAUGGGCGAAAGCCUGACGGAGCGACGCCGCGUGAGUGAUGAAGGUCUUCGGAUCGUAAAACUCUGUUAUUAGGGAAGAACAAAUGUGUACGUAACUAUGCACGUCUUGACGGUACCUAAUCAGAAAGCCACGGCUAACUACGUG